UAAACUGCAAGCUUCGUACAUUUUGAUAACCUCUAAAACUGGAUUGUUAAAUCCAGUCUUGGAUAAAGUUACUCCUGUAUUAACAAGCACUCACUUUUAGAUGGAGGCGGCUUUGGAAGGUUCCUACCUACUAAGACUCUUCUCCAUCACCUUAUUCAGGCGAUGCUUCUCAUGACAUUGCAUCUCCUCCAUCGUGUGCCCCUCGUGAGUACCUCCAGCGCUUGUUUUGGCUACCAUUUAUGGCAUAUAUCAGAACUGCUCAGACUUGAUAAAUGAAGCUGGUACCAUAUGAAGAAUGUAACUCGCUCUCCUCCAGGACUGUUUGAGUCAAAUGAUGCCAAAACAGCCCAAGCUGACUAAAGGGUAACAGAUUCUGAACCGUCACAGCUAAACAGACAUGGAGCACUGUCACAACAGCGCGUGUUUCACACGCCCUCCCACCGAGUGUGCUCGUCCCCGCUGGCAUCGCACGUCUAGAGGAACAGACUGAAGCUGCAAGAAACGGAUCAUCCAACCUCAAAGGUUGGGAAGAGGCAAAAGCUGUAUUUUCAUUUAGAUUUCUGACUUCAACUGCACAAAGAUCUGAAAAUAGUGGAAGCAAUAUU